rnacentral:rRNA from 1 species
AACGAACGCUGGCGGCAUGCCUAACACAUGCAAGUCGAACGAGACCUUCGGGUCUAGUGGCGCACGGGUGCGUAACGCGUGGGAACCUGCCCUUAGGUUCGGAAUAACUCCCCGAAAGGGGUGCUAAUACCGGAUAAUGUCUUCGGACCAAAGAUUUAUCGCCUUUGGAUGGGCCCGCGUUGGAUUAGCUAGUUGGUAGGGUAAAAGCCUACCAAGGCGACGAUCCAUAGCUGGUCUGAGAGGAUGAUCAGCCACACUGGGACUGAGACACGGCCCAGACUCCUACGGGAGGCAGCAGUGGGGAAUAUUGGACAAUGGGCGAAAGCCUGACCCAGCCAUGCCGCGUGAGUGAUGAAGGCCUUAGGGUUGUAAAGCUCUUUUACCCGGGAUGAUAAUGACAGUACCGGGAGAAUAAGCUCCGGCUAACUCCGUG